GACAGAGGAUGCAAGCGUUAUCCGGAAUGAUUGGGCGUAAAGCGUCUGUAGGUGGCUUUUUAAGUCUGCCGUCAAAUCCCAGGGCUUAACCCUGGACAGGCGGUGGAAACUACCAAGCUGGAGUACGGUAGGGGCAGGGGGAAUUUCCGGUGGAGCGGUGAAAUGCGUAGAGAUCGGGAAGAACACCAACGGCGAAAGCGCUCUGCUGGGCCGACACUGACACUGAGAGACGAAAGCUAGGGGAGCGAAUGGG
rnacentral:rRNA from 1 species